rnacentral:rRNA from 1 species
GAUGAACGCUGGCGGCGUGCCUAAUACAUGCAAGUCGAGCGAACGGACGAGAAGCUUGCUUUUCUGAUGUUAGCGGCGGACGGGCGAGUAACACGUGGAUAACCUACCUAUAAGACUGGGAUAACUUCGGGAAACCGGAGCUAAUACCGGAUAAUAUUUUGAACCGCAUGGUUCAAAGGUGAAAGACGGUCUUGCUGUCACUUAUAGAUGGAUCCGCGCUGCAUUAGCUAGUUGGUAAGGUAACGGCUUACCAAGGCAACGAUGCAUAGCCGACCUGAGAGGGUGAUCGGCCACACUGGAACUGAGACACGGUCCAGACUCCUACGGGAGGCAGCAGUAGGGAAUCUUCCGCAAUGGGCGAAAGCCUGACGGAGCAACGCCGCGUGAGUGAUGAAGGUCUUCGGAUCGUAAAACUCUGUUAUUAGGGAAGAACAUAUGUGUAAGUAACUGUGCACAUCUUGACGGUACCUAAUCAGAAAGCCACGGCUAACUACGUGCCAGCAGCCGCGGUAAUACGUAGGUGGCAAGCGUUAUCCGGAAUUAUUGGGCGUAAAGCGCGCGUAGGCGGUUUUUUAAGUCUGAUGUGAAAGCCCACGGCUCAACCGUGGAGGGUCAUUGGAAACUGGAAAACUUGAGUGCAGAAGAGGAAAGUGGAAUUCCAUGUGUAGCGGUGAAAUGCGCAGAGAUAUGGAGGAACACCAGUGGCGAAGGCGACUUUCUGGUCUGUAACUGACGCUGAUGUGCGAAAGCGUGGGGAUCAAACAGGAUUAGAUACCCUGGUAGUCCACGCCGUAAACGAUGAGUGCUAAGUGUUAGGGGGUUUCCGCCCCUUAGUGCUGCAGCUAACGCAUUAAGCACUCCGCCUGGGGAGUACGACCGCAAGGUUGAAACUCAAAGGAAUUGACGGGGACCCGCACAAGCGGUGGAGCAUGUGGUUUAAUUCGAAGCAACGCGAAGAACCUUACCAAAUCUUGACAUCCUUUGACAACUCUAGAGAUAGAGCCUUCCCCUUCGGGGGACAAAGUGACAGGUGGUGCAUGGUUGUCGUCAGCUCGUGUCGUGAGAUGUUGGGUUAAGUCCCGCAACGAGCGCAACCCUUAAGCUUAGUUGCCAUCAUUAAGUUGGGCACUCUAAGUUGACUGCCGGUGACAAACCGGAGGAAGGUGGGGAUGACGUCAAAUCAUCAUGCCCCUUAUGAUUUGGGCUACACACGUGCUACAAUGGACAAUACAAAGGGCAGCGAAACCGCGAGGUCAAGCAAAUCCCAUAAAGUUGUUCUCAGCUCGGAUUGUAGUCUGCAACUCGACUACAUGAAGCUGGAAUCGCUAGUAAUCGUAGAUCAGCAUGCUACGGUGAAUACGUUCCCGGGUCU